rnacentral:rRNA from 1 species
GACCGUGUUGGACAAACCUCUAGUGUACCUGUUGUGGCGCCAGCUGCAUCGCAGGGUAGCUACGUUUGGAAGAGAUAAGUGCUGAAAGCAUCUAAGCACGAAGCUCGCCUCAAGAUGAGGUUUCCUUAAAGGGUCGUUGAAGAUUACAACGUUGAUAGGUUGCAGGUGUAAAGGCAGUAAUGUCAAAGCCGAGCAAUACUAAUUACCCGAAAUCUUUUUAUA